rfam:Bacteroidetes bacterium GWF2_43_11 gwf2_scaffold_1388, whole genome shotgun sequence.
UAGAAGUGGAGUCCGGCAACCACUCAAACAAACGGGGCGAUAUCGAAAAGCCUGAUGAGUAGAAGAAUC